rnacentral:rRNA from 1 species
CUUGCUUUCUUUGCUGGCGACCGGCGCACGGGUGAGUAACACGUAUCCAACCUGCCCUUUACUCGGGGAUAGCCUUUCGAAAGAAAGAUUAAUACCCGAUAGUAUAAUGGUUCCGCAUGGUUUCAUUAUUAAAGGAUUCCGGUAAAGGAUGGGGAUGCGUUCCAUUAGGUUGUUGGUGAGGUAACGGCUCACCAAGCCUUCGAUGGAUAGGGGUUCUGAGAGGAAGGUCCCCCACAUUGGAACUGAGACACGGUCCAA